rnacentral:rRNA from 1 species
CGGACGGGUGAGUACGCGUGGAACCGUGCCCUGUACAGGGGGAUAACAACUUAGAAAUAGGUGCUAUACCGCAUAAGCGCACAGUAUCGCAUGAUACAGUGUGAAAAACUCCGGUGGUACAGGAUGGACCCGCGUCUGAUUAGCUGGUUGGCGGGGUAACGGCCCACCAAGGCGACGAUCAGUAGCCGGCCUGAGAGGGUGAACGGCCACAUUGGGACUGAGACACGGCCCAAACUCCUACGGAAGGCAGCAG